rnacentral:rRNA from 1 species
UACGUAGGGGGCUAGCGUUGUCCGGAAUCAUUGGGCGUAAAGAGCGUGUAGGCGGCCCGGUAAGUCCGCUGUAAAAGUCAAAGGCUCAACCUUUGAAUGUCAGUGGAUACUGCCGGGCUAGAGUCCGGAAGAGGCGAGUGGAAUUCCUGGUGUAGCGGUGGAAUGCGCAGAUAUCAGGAGGAACACCAAUAGCGAAGGCAGCUCGCUGGGACGGUACUGACGCUGAGGCGCGAAAGCGUGGGGAGCGAACAGG